CACCUAGGCGACGAUCCCUAGCUGGUCUGAGAGGAUGACCAGCCACACUGGAACUGAGACACGGUCCAGACUCCUACGGGAGGCAGCAGUGGGGAAUAUUGCACAAUGGGCGCAAGCCUGAUGCAGCCAUGCCGCGUGUAUGAAGAAGGCCUUCGGGUUGUAAAGUACUUUCAGCGGGGAGGAAGGGAGUAAAGUUAAUACCUUUGCUCAUUGACGUUACCCGCAGAAGAAGCACCGGCUAACUCCGUGCCAGCAGCCGCGGUAAUACGGAGGGUGCAAGCGUUAAUCGGAAUUACUGGGCGUAAAGCGCACGCAGGCGGUUUGUUAAGUCAGAUGUGAAAUCCCCGGGCUCAACCUGGGAACUGCAUCUGAUACUGGCAAGCUUGAGUCUCGUAGAGGGGGGUAGAAUUCCAGGUGUAGCGGUGAAAUGCGUAGAGAUCUGGAGGAAUACCGGUGGCGAAGGCGGCCCCCUGGACGAAGACUGACGCUCAGGUGCGAAAGCGUGGGGAGCAAACAGGAUU
rnacentral:rRNA from 1 species